UAUGUAUUUCCUCUGUCUAAAAAAAGAUGUCUCAACUUUGAUUGAAUUUGAAUGCAUCUAUACAUUAAGUCAUGUUUAGAUACAUCCAAAUUUCGACAAACUUGAGACAUCUUUUGUUGGACGGAAGGAGUAUAGC
rfam:Brachypodium distachyon strain Bd21 chromosome 4, whole genome shotgun sequence.